rnacentral:rRNA from 1 species
GCCUAAUACAUGCAAGUCGAGCGCACCUUCGGGUGAGCGGCGGACGGGUGAGUAACGCGUGGGAACGUGCCCUUUGGUUCGGAACAACACAGGGAAACUUGUGCUAAUACCGAAUGUGCCCUUCGGGGGAAAGAUUUAUCGCCAUUGGAGCGGCCCGCGUUGGAUUAGCUAGUUGGUGGGGUAAAGGCCCACCAAGGCGACGAUCCAUAGCUGGUCUGAGAGGAUGAUCAGCCACACUGGGACUGAGACACGGCCCAGACUCCUACGGGAGGCAGCAGUAGGGAAUCUUGCGCAAUGGGCGAAAGCCUGACGCAGCCAUGCCGCGUGAAUGAUGAAGGUCUUAGGAUUGUAAAAUUCUUUCACCGGGGAAGAUAAUGACGGUACCCGGAGAAGAAGCCCCGGCUAACUUCGUGCCAGCAGCCGCGGUAAUACGAAGGGGGCUAGCGUUGCUCGGAAUUACUGGGCGUAAAGGGCGCGUAGGCGGACAGUUUAGUCAGAGGUGAAAGCCCAGGGCUCAACCUUGGAACUGCCUUUGAUACUGGCUGUCUUGAGUUCGGGAGAGGUGAGUGGAAUGCCGAGUGUAGAGGUGAAAUUCGUAGAUAUUCGGCGGAACACCAGUGGCGAAGGCGACUCACUGGCCCGAUACUGACGCUGAGGCGCGAAAGCGUGGGGAGCAAACAGG